ensembl:lncRNA novel transcript
GGGAUGCGCUUACUGCUGCGCUGCUGCUCGGUCAGCCAGCGUCUGGGAUGGGAGCGCUCCUGCAUUUUACAUGACUGCGGGGCCUGUUCCUUGCGCCUGUCUGGUCGCGUCACAUCAUGGAGGGUUUCUCGGGGCGGCCGGCCGCCUCUGAGCACAGCCAGGGUGGUGUUUGCAGCACAGCUGCUGCCUAGGCCUCGCUGCGGAGGUGCUGGGCCACGGCCCCGUGGAGGCAGAGCCGCAGGGCCAUCGACAUGUCCUUUGAAAACGGGCAUUUCCCCAACUCAUGCAGGUGGAGGGGAGAGCGAAGCCAAAUGGGACACCGGCCCCCACACACUGCCCCGGCUCCUGCAUUUCCGGAGAUGGAAACCUGGAGAGCAGCUGGGAUCUUGAAAACGUGGGUUGGACUGCGUCACCCCGACCCCUGCCUCAAAGCCCCUCCGUGGUUGCCUACAGCACAGCUUGAAGCCCCUUGGUUCUGCUUCCCGGGCCUGCAGCGCUGGCCCCAGCCUGGCCGAGCGAGCAUUUGUUCACCCAAGACCUUUCCCCUCCUGCCCUCGUGGAGCCUCCACAAGGAGUAAACAACCACUUCUGGUCCCUCAAAGCAUCAACUCUGUGCCUUGCAGACAGCGGACACGUAACACAGCCACGCGGCGUGAACAUGAGCAGACUUCUUUUUUCCAGGAUGUGCACGGUUUCCACGACAAUGCCCACUGCACGCCUUAUGGCCUCACCAGAGACGUAAAGCAGAUGCCAAGAAACUUCCCCCCAAAAUGGGCUGGCUUGCCAAGCCCAGGACCGCCUGUCCAGCUGGGGCUGGGGGCAAGGAUCCCAUUUUCUGUGACUCUCUUUGCUCUGAUGGUCAGGUUCACCGGCCGUACGUGUAAUCUGAAGCAUUCGGUAGCGAUCUAAUUAAAUGUUAACACAUCAUUAAAGUGAUUUGCGAUAAGCACAGUUAA